UUAUAAAAUAUUUCUUAUAGCUUGUAGGCAACACCGUCUUCCUGUCGAUUAUUUCUGGUCCUGUGGAUGUCAUAAAGGAAUUCAACUUAAUCUUGUACUGGAGAGCGAGAGGUGUGUUGCAUAUUUCAUGACUUCUCAUGAAACAGACCUUGUUCCGUAUUUGUGAUGGUUAUAUGGCUAUGCAGUGUGAAGUUUGUUGACGUAUUUCCUCAACAACAAUAUGAUUGGCCACCAACACCCCCAAAUCGGCCAACAACACCCCCAGGAUGCUUCUAUAACAACAACCACCACUUUCCUGGUACAAUGAUUGAAAAGGGGCGUGAUGGAAACUGGUGUUGGGUCGUUUUCUGCGAUGACGAUGGUAAACUUCUUCACGGAGAUGAUUUUAACUGUCUGUCUACAACUACGCUACUACCCACUACUUCGCCACCGAGAAGGAAAUGAACUCUAAUCGAAGAUUAAGCGUUAUACAGUUUAUUAUCAUUAUUUGUAGAGCAGUAGUAAAUGAUUCUUUAAUGGAUAAAACACGACUUACUUUAUUUAACAAUACCUCAUGCUGUCUGUAUGGCAUUUUUUUUACCCGAAUGUUCGAAACCAGUAAUAAUCUGAAGUUCUAGAUAUUUCUUUUUGUUUAGUUUAAAGUUACACUGAUACAAUAUAGAUCAUAUGGCGACUUUCCCAGCUUUUGAUGGUGGGAGAAAACCCCAGGUGUCCCUCCCAUAGACGGGUACCUGGGUAGUUUUCAAAAGCCAGUGCGAUUGAGCUGUUAUGAUAUUUUUCUUGACUUUUUGUCGAGUUUCCACUGGCGU
rnacentral:lncRNA from 1 species